rnacentral:ncRNA from 1 species
CAAAGAUUUGGUCCUAAUCUUACUAUUAAUUAUGAUUAUAUUUAUACAUGCAAGUAUCUGCACCCCGGUGAAAAUGCCCUAAAUUUACUAAUAAUAAACUAAGGAGCCGAUAUCAGGCACAUGCCCAUUACAUCUUGCUAAGCCACACCCACAAGGGGUUCCAGCAGUAAUAAACAUUGAGAUAUAAGCGACAGCUUGAAUCAGUAAUAAUCUAAAGAGUUGGUUAAUCUCGUGCCAGCCACCGCGGUUAUACGAGAAACCCAAAUUAAUUAACCACGGCCCAAAGAGCAGUUAAAUGAAAUUUAAAUAAUAGUUUAAAAAAUUAACUAAGCCGUUAUACGCAAUAGUUAAAUCUAAAACCAUUAACGAAAGUAAUACUAGUAAAUAAAAAAUAUUGAAGCCGCGAAAGCUACGAUACAAACUGGGAUUAGAUACCCCACUAUGCCUAGCCAUAAACUUUGACCAUUCCGCCAGAGUACUACGAGCAAUAGCUUAAAACUCAAAGGACUUGGCGGUGCUCUACACCCACCUAGAGGAGCCUGUUCUAUAAUUGAUAAUCCCCAAUAAACCUCACCACUCAUUGCAAUACAGCCUAUAUACCGCCGCCGUCAGCUUACCCUUUAAAGGAAGACAAGUAAGCAAAAUGACAAACAUAAAAACGUCAGGUCAAGGUGUAGCAUAUGGGGUGGGAAGAAAUGGGCUACAUUUUCUUUAAGAAAAAACGAAAAACCAAAUGAAAAAAGAUUGGAAGGAGGAUUUAGCAGUAAAAAGAAAUAAGAGUGUUCUUUUUAAAUUUGGCUAUAGAGCGCGCACACACCGCCCGUCACCCUCUUCAACACUAUGCUUAAGUAAUUAACAAAACUAUAAAACAAAGAAGAGGAAAGUCGUAACAUGGUAAGUUUACCGGAAGGUGAACUUGGAUU